CAAUAGCGUAUAUUUAAGUUGUUGUAGUUAAAAAGCUCGUAGUUGGAUUUCGGAUGGGAUUUGCCGGUCCGUCGUUACGAUGUGCACUGGCCAGUCCUAUCUUGUUGUCGGGGACUAGCUCCUUGGAUUCACUUCCUGGGACUAGGAGCUGACGAGGUUACUUUGAGUAAAUUAGAGUGUUCAAAGCAAGCCUACGCUCUGAAUACAUUAGCAUGGAAUAACACGAUAGGACUCUGGCUUAUCUUGUUGGUCUGUGAGACCAGAGUAAUGAUUAAGAGGGACAGUCGGGGACAUUCGUAUUUCAUUGUCAGAGGUGAAAUUCUUGGAUUUAUGAAAGACGAACUUCUGCGAAAGCAUUUGUCAAGGAUGUUUUCAUUAA
rnacentral:rRNA from 1 species